GACAGAGGUGCCGAGCGUUAGGCGGAAUCACUGGGCUUAAAGCGUGUGUAGGCGGGCGGCCAAGUACCUUGUGAAAUCCCACAGCUCACCUGUGGAACUGCUUGGCAUACUGGCGGUCUUGAGCCACUUUAGGGGCAACCGGAACAAACGGUGGAGCGGUGAAAUGCGUAGAUAUCGUUUGGAACGCCAAUGGUGAAAACAGGUUGCUGGGAGUGCGCUGACGUGAGACACGAAAGCCAGGGGGAGCGAACGGGG
rnacentral:rRNA from 1 species